CCUGGGGAGUACGGCCGCAAGGCUGAAACUCAAAGGAAUUGACGGGGGCCCGCACAAGCGGUGGAGCAUGUGGUUUAAUUUGAAGCAACGCGAAGAACCUUACCAGGUCUUGACAUCCCGCUGACCGCCUUAGAGAUAAGGCUUUCCCUUCGGGGACAGCGGUGACAGGUGGUGCAUGGUUGUCGUCAGCUCGUGUCGUGAGAUGUUGGGUUAAGUCCCGCAACGAGCGCAACCCUUGAUUUUAGUUGCCAGCAUUCAGUUGGGCACUUUAAGGUGACUGCCGGUGACAAACCGGAGGAAGGUGGGGAUGACGUCAAAUCAUCAUGCCCCUUAUGACCUGGGC
rnacentral:rRNA from 1 species